GGAGGCAGCAGUGGGGAAUCUUCCGCAAUGGACGAAAGUCUGACGGAGCAACGCCGCGUGAGUGAUGAAGGAUUUCGGUCUGUAAAGCUCUGUUGUUUAUGACGAAGUGCAGUGUGUGAACAAUGCAUUGCAAUGACGGUAGUAAACGAGGAAGCCACGGCUAACUACGUGCCAGCAGCCGCGGUAAUACGUAGGUGGCGAGCGUUGUCCGGAAUUAUUGGGCGUAAAGAGCAUGUAGGCGGCUUAAUAAGUCGAGCGUGAAAAUGCGGGGCUCAACCCCGUAUGGCGCUGGAAACUGUUAGGCUUGAGUGCAGGAGAGGAAAGGGGAA
rnacentral:rRNA from 1 species